AAAAUAUCCUUUGCUCCUUGUUAAAGUAGAUUUAGGCUCAGUGGCUCUGGUGGAAGAGGUUGUUUAAACUCCGUAAACCACACAAUUACCAACUUUCUUUUUCUCUGUGUACAGUGGUCCAAUGGACAAAACUCGGAUUCAUCUUGGAGGAUUAGCAGCAGCAAGAGCCUAUGGAGGCAGGGAAGAAGCCUCUAUCAAGUGGUGGUGUUUGCUUUUGCAGUUCUCUAAUAAAAAUGAAGUUUUCCAUCUCUAACAAAAUACCAAUGACAUUCUUCGCAGAAAUAGAAAAAACAAUUCUAAAAUUUAUAUGGAACCCCAAAAGACCCAGAAUCUCUAAAGCUAUCCUAAGCAAAAGGAACAAAACUGGAGGAAUGACAUUACCUGACUUCAAAUUAUACUACAGAGCUAUAGUAACCAAAACAGCAUGGUACUGGCAUAAAAACUGACACAUAGACCAAUGGAACAGAAUAGAGAAACCAGAAACAAAUCCACACAUCUACAAUAAACUCAUUUUCAACAAAGGUGCCAAGAACAUACACUAGGGAAGAGACAGUCUUCAAUAAAUGUUGCUGGGAAAACUGGAUAUCCAUAUGCAGAAGAAUGAAACUAGACUCUUAUCUCUCACCAUAUAUAAAAAUCAAAAAAUGGAUUAAAGACUUAAAUCUAAGACCUCAAACUAUGAAACUAAUAUAAAAAAACAUUGGGGAAAAUCUCCAGGGCAUUGUUCUGGGCAAAGAUUUCUUGAGUAAUACCCCACAAGCACAGGAAACCAAAGCAAAAAUGGACAAAUGGGACCACAUCAAGUUAAAAAGCUUCUGCACAGUGAAGGAUACAAUCAACAAAGUGAAGCGACAACCCACAGAAUGGGAGGCAAUAUUUGCAAACUACCCAUCUGACAGGGGACUAAUAACCUGAAUAUAUAAGGGUCUCAAACAACUCUAGGAAAAUGUCUAAUAAUCUGAUCAAAAAUGGGCAAAAGACUUGAAUAGACAUUUCGCAAAAGAAGACACAUGAAUGACAAACAGGCAUACGAAAAUGUGCUUAACAUCAUUGAUCAUCAGAGAAAUGCAAAUCAAAACUCCAAUGAGAUAGCAUCUCAUCUCAGUUAAAAUAGCUUAUAUCCAAAAGACAGAUAAUAACAAAUGCUCUUCGGAAUGUGGAGAAAAGGGUGGGAAUGUAAAUUAGUACAGCUACUGUGGAGAACAGUUUGGAGGUUCCUCAAAAAACUAAAAAUAGAGCUGCUAUAUGAUCCAGCAAUCCCACUGCUGGGUGUAUUCCCAAAAGAAAGAAAAUCAGUGUAUCAAAGAGAUAUUGGCACUCCUAUGUUUGUUACAGUACUGUUUACAAUAGCCAAGAUUUGGAAGCAACCUAAGUGUCCAUCAACAGAUGAAUAGAUAAAGAAAAUGUGGUACAUAAACAUAAUAGAGUACUAUUCAGCCAUAAAAAAGAAUGAGAUCCUGUCAUUUGCAACGACAUAGAUAGAACUGGAGGUCUUUACGUUAAGUGAAAUAAGGCAGGCACAGAAAGACAAAUAUCACAUGUUCUCACUUAUCUGUGGGAUCUAAAAAAACAAUUGAAGUCAUGGAAAUAGAGAAUAGAAGGAUGGUUACCAGAGGCUAGGAAGGGUAGGUGGGGGAGGUUGUGGAGGGGAGGUGGGGAUGGUUAAUGGGUACAAAAAAAAAUAGAAAGAAUGAAUAAGACCUACUAUUUGAUAGCAAAAAUAGGGUGACUAUAGUCAAUAAUUACUUAAUUGUACAUUUUAAAAUAACUUAAAGAGUAUAAUUUGAUUAUUUGUAACUCAAAGGAUAAAUGUUUGAGUGGAUGGAUACCCCAUUCUCCAUGAUGUGCUUAUUUCACCUCACAUGCCUGUAUCAAAACAUCUCAGAUAACCCAUAAGUAUAUACACCUACUAUGUACCCACA
rnacentral:lncRNA from 10 species